UUUCCGUAGGUGAACCUGCGGAAGGAUCAUUAAUGAGUUGUCAUGGGGUUCGAUGCUGGCAGCCAAUUUUUGGAUGCAUGUGCUUGCCCUAACAAUCAUCUUCCAAACACCUGUGCACAUUUUUGAGGGAGUCUUGAGUUGGUUGCCGCUCUUGGGUGAUUUUCUCACAUUCCCUUAAAUCAUUAUACGCCAUUAACAAUGUUGAACGUGCUCUGUGCCGCAAGGCUAUUAAUAUAAUACAACUUUUAACAACGGAUCUCUUGGCUCUC
rnacentral:misc_RNA from 1 species